AGCGAACGCUGGCGGCGUGCCUAACACAUGCAAGUCGAACGUGAAUGGGAGCAAUCCCUAGUAAAGUGGCGUACGGGUGAGUAACGCGUAGGUAAUCUACCCUAGAGUCUGGGAAUAACCGGCCGAAAGGCUGGCUAAUACUGGAUAGAGCGAGGAACUCGUAAAAGGGUUUUUCGGGAAAGGGAGGCAGCAAUGCCCCUUGCUUUAGGAUGAGCCUGCGUCUCAUUAGCUAGUGGUAGGGUAAUGGCCUACCAAGGCAUUGAUGGGUAGCUGGUCUGAGAGGAUGAUCAGCCACACUGGAACUGAAACACGGUCCAGACUCCUACGGGAGGCAGCAGUGGGGAAUCUUGCGCAAUGGACGAAAGUC
rnacentral:rRNA from 1 species